GACGAACGCUGGCGGCGUGCCUAAUACAUGCAAGUUGAGCGCUGAAGGUUGGUACUUGUACCAACUGGAUGAGCAGCGAACGGGUGAGUAACGCGUGGGGAAUCUGCCUUUGAGCGGGGGACAACAUUUGGAAACGAAUGCUAAUACCGCAUAAAAACUUUAAACACAAGUUUUAAGUUUGAAAGAUGCAAUUGCAUCACUCAAAGAUGAUCCCGCGUUGUAUUAGCUAGUUGGUGAGGUAAAGGCUCACCAAGGCGAUGAUACAUAGCCGACCUGAGAGGGUGAUGGGCCACAUUGGGACCGAGAACCGGCCCAAACCCCUACGGGGGGCAGCAGGUGGGAUUUUUCGGAAAUGGCCGAAAGUCUGACCGAGCACCCCCGGGGGAGUGAAAAAGUUUUUCGGAUCAAAAAACUUUGUUGGUAGAGAAAAACGUUGGUGGGGGGGGAAAGCCCAUCAAGUGACGGUAACUACCCAAAAAGGGACGGCUAACUACGU
rnacentral:rRNA from 1 species